UUUGGCUGUGUUGGGUCUUCGUUGCUGGUUGUGGCGAGCGUGGCCUACUCUUCAUUGUGGUGCACAGGCUUCCCACUGUGGUGGCUUUUCUUGUUGCAGAGCAUGGGCUCUAGGUGCGUGGGUUUCAGUAGUUGCAGCAUGCGGGCUCAGUAGUUGUGGCUCGCGGGCUCUAGAGAGCAGGCUCAGUAGUUGUGGCGCAUGGACUUAGCUGCUCUGUGGCAUGUGGAAUCUUCCUGGCUCAGGGCUCGAACCCGUGUCCCCUCAAUUGGCAGGCGAAUUCUUAACCACUGUGCAACCAGGGAAACCCUCACAUCUGUUUCUGCGUUCAAUCUGUUGUGUUGAUUCAAGUAUAAGAAGAAAACUCAGAUUCACACAGGUAGCCUGGAGUAGAGAAAGGAGCUCUCCCGUUAACAUGCUGUGUGACCCCAGGCAAGAUUCAACCGGGGCUUCCCUGAUGGCUCAGUGGUUAGGAAUCCGCCUGCCAGUGCACGGGACACAGGGUCAAGCCCUGGUCCGGGAAGAUCCCCCACGUCACAGAGCAACCAGGCCCAUACACCUCAUACAACCAGGCUCAUACACUACUGAGCCUGCGCUCUACAGCCCGCGAACCACAACUACUGAGCCCACGUGCCAUAACUACUGAAGCCCACCUGCCUAGAGCCUGUGCUCCGCAACAAGAGAAGCCACCGCAAUGAGGAGCCCGCUCACCGCAAAGAAGAGUAGCCCCCGCUCGCCACAACUAGAGAAAGCCCUCUCACAGCAACGAAGACCCAACGCAGCCAAAAAUUAAAUAACCCUACUUUGCACCUCUGACUACAGAGAUACCUGGAGCCUCUGAUUCAUCAGCCCUCCUGGAGUGCUGUGCUAUGAACUGGACUUUUUCUUUUUUUUUAAAAUUGAAGUAUAGUUGAUGCAUAAUAUAUGUUACAGAUGUACAGCAUACUGAUUCACAAUUUUAAAGGUUAUUUUCCAUUUAUAGUUAUUAUAAAAUAUUAGCUAUCUUCCCUGUGCUGUAUAAUAUAUCUCCUUCCUUGUAGUAGCUUAUAUAUUUUCUACAUAGUAGUUUGUACCUCUUAACCCCAUCCCUAUCUUGUCCCUCCCCGCUUCUUUCUCCCCACUGGUAACCACUAGUUUGUUCUCUAUGUAUGUGAGCCUGUUUCUUUUUUAAUUAAUUAAUUAAUUAUAUUUAUUUUUGGCUGCAUGGGGUCUUCAUUGCUGCGCGCGGGCUUUCUCUAGUUGUGGCGAGUAGGGGCUACUCUUCGUUGCGGUGCGCGGGCUUCUCAUUGCGGUGGCUUCUCUCGUUGCAGAGCACGGACUCUAGAGCGCAGGCUUCAGCAGUUGUGGUGCCCGGGCUUAGUUGCUCCGCAGCAUGUGGGAUUUCCCAGACCAGGGCUCGAACCUGUGUCCCCUGCAUUGGCAGGCGGAUCCUUAACCACUGCACCACCAGGGAAGUCCCUGUUUGUUUUUUGUUAUAUUCACUAGUUUGCCGUAUUUUUUAGAUUCCACGUGUAAGUGAUAUCAUAUUGUAUUUGUCUUUCUCCAUCUGAUUUAUUUCAUCUCCAAGUCCAUCUGUGUUGCUGCAAAUGGCAAAAUUUCAUUCUUUUUUAUGGCUGAGUAGUAUUCCAUUGUGUGUGUGUGUGUGUGUGUGUGUGUGUGUGUGUGUGUGUGUGUGUAUACACAUCUGGUGAUUAUACAUAUGUCACAUUUUCUUUAUCCAUUCAUCUGUUGAUGGAGACUUAGGUUGCUUCCAUACCCUGGCAAUUGUAAAUUAGUGCUGGUAUAAAUAUUGGGGUGCAUGUGUCUUUUCAAAUUAGUGUUUUUGGGGUUUUCGGAUAUAUACCCAGGAAUAGAAUUGCUGGGUCAUAUGGCGAACUGGCCUUUUUCUUGUUAGCUGUUCCACCUUCACUUUUCCCACUCUGCUAAGUCACUUACCACUUCCCCCUAUGCUUUCCAGCUUCCAAAAUGUUGUUGCCUUUAUUCUUCCACUGCUAUAUCCUUUCCUGACUUCUUAGUCCUUAUGGGUUUAUACUUUUUUAAAAAAAUUCCUCUGCUCUUACUUUAGCGGGGGGUCUAAUGGGAAAGAAGAGCUAAACACAUAUGUUUAUUAAUCUACCUGGUUUCCUUUAAAGAGCACAGCACAAAUGUUUAAAUAGUAUAUCCAUCAGGAGUCAGUUGCAGUAACAGAAAAGGUUGAUUCAGAGAAGUAGGUGCUUGAAACACACUGGAUAAACUAGAAGAAUGGGCUCAAGGCUAGUCCUCCAGGAAUGAUUGUCAGAACCCUGCAGAACUGAUCCUGCAAGAGAGCUGCAACCUGGUUGAGAGUCAGGGACCUGUGAAAUAAUAAACAACUGCCAGGCCCAUCUUAGCCACAUUCAGAGAUCAGGCUGCUGCUGCCGCACUUUCAGCUUCAAAGCCACACGGUCUGCUAGACCGAUAUCCGCUAAGUGGAGGCCCAGAGCAACACUGCCUCUCUCCCUUCUACACUCAGGUAAGCACUCAAGUCUUGUGUGAAGGUGUCUGAUUUUUUUUUUUUUUUUUUGCCGCGCCACGCGGCAUGCAGGAUCUUAGUUCCCCAACCAGGGAUCAAACCCAUGCCCCCUGCAUUGGGAGCAUGGCGUCUUAACCACUGGACUGCCAGGGAAGUCCCUGAAGGCAUCUGACUGGUGUAACCCCAACCUCCGAAAUGCAUCUGGGGGGUUUUGCUGCAAGGGAACAUAAAAAAUACUGUUUUUCAGCCUUCCAGCCUCUGCAGUGUAAGAAGGCAGACCAAAAGGAAGUUAGAUCAGGUGUCAAGGGCAUUAAUCUAUGUAUCCACCAGAAAAGGUAAGUCAAUGUGUACACACAUUUUGUAACUGGACAAUGAAGGAUCCAUUCGCAUUGUUUUUCUCACCUUACCUAAUUUCCUUCCUCUUAGCCUUUGGGAUUAACUCUAAAAGCUUCGCCUCCUUGCCUUUGCUCAGGGGUUAGCAAACUUUUUCAAUAAAAGAUUGGAGAGUAAAUAUUUUAGGUGUUACAGGCCAUAUGGUAUCUGUCACAAGUUUUCAACUUUUAUUGUUGUAGUGAGAAAACAGCCUGAGACAACAUGUAAACAAAUGAGCAUGGAUCCAGUUAAGACUUUAUUUAUAAAAGCAAGUGGCCAGCUGGAUUUGGCCUGUGGGCCAUAGUUUGCAGACCCUGUCUUUGCUUUUUUUUUUUUUUUCUUUUGGCCAUGCUGCAUGCCUUGUGAGAUCUUAGUUCCCCGGCCAGGGACUGAACCUGGGCCCCCGCAGUGAAAGCGCCGAGUCCUAACCACUGUACCGCCAGGGAGCUCCCCUUUCUUUGUUUAUAUUGUCCAUUAAAUCCACAGAUCCUUAAUGAGCACCUACUGAGUGUCAGGUACUUUCUAGGGGAGGAGAUAUAGCAGUAAACAGGACAGAGGGCCCCCAGCUCAGGGGAGUGAACAUUCUGCCUGCGGUGAUGCUCUCCUCCCCACCUCCCCUUCCCUGCCUAACCCAGACUCCUAUUUAAUACUCUGUGUGGGUUGACCUGCCUUGACUUUCCUCCUUCCGGCCAGAGCUGAUUCCCUCCCCCAGAGCUCCCAUAGUGCCCUGUGUACACUGAGGUCACUUGUACCAACCUUGUGCGUGAAUGUUGCCUGCUUAUGCAUCUGGUUCCCUGCAAGACCGUGAACUCUUCAAAGGCGAGAACUGGGCCCCUCCUCACCUUGCAUCGUCUGGGGCCUGGCUCAGAACCAGCCUGUGGUCCGUGGUGUUGAACUGACUUUCGGGAGUCUUUGUGGAAGCUGAGAUACAAACAUUAGACACAGUUGCGGGCAGUUCUGCAGUGGCCCUAUUCAGGUGAGCAUUUGUGUUUAUCAACUGGGUUAUGGUGUAAUUUAUGUGCACCUCUUUCAAGUGUGCAUGUCGACGAAUUUUGACAAAUGUUUCCAUCUUUGUAAAUACCACCACAAUCAAGAUCUAGAACAUUCCCUCACACCCCAAAGUUCCCUUGUCCCUCUUUGUAGUCGUCACCUCACACCCCAAGCCCCAGCCUUAGAUAAUCACUGAUCUACUGCCUAUCACUACAGCUUAGCUUUGCCUGUUCUAAAACUUUAUAUAAAUGGAAGCACACUGUGUAUACUGUUUUAUAUACAGCACAAUGUGUUGCUAUAUCAGCAAUCCAUUCCUUCUUAUGGCUGAGUGGUAUUUCAUUUAUGGAUAUACCACAGUCUGUUGAUCAGAUGAGAAUUUCAAGGAAAAAGAUAUCUCUGCUCCCUCUCCCAGAACCUACUGUAGGGAACUAGGAGGGUCUUGUCUGGCCUCAAAUGUACAGGCUGUGUAUUAGCUCUUGUAAUAUUGUGAUUUAUAUCAGGAAAUACGUAUUUGUUCUCAGUCCCUGUUCCUAGCACUGAGUUCCUAAGACCCUUGGCAUUUCCUAAGUGAAGAGAGUGAUCAAGGUGUCUUUUGUGAUGUUGAGGUGACUCUUGAAAUGCCCUUAGGUCACCUAAGAAGGAGGGCUGGUCACCAGUGGAACCAACCAAGUAAUUGGAGAGCUGGAACUUUCAGUUCCACCCCUCUGACCUCUGGGGAGGAAAAAGGGACAGGAGAUUGAGUUCAGUCACCAAUGGCCAAUGAUCUAAUCAAUCAUGCCUAUGUAGUGAAGCUUCCAUAAAAACCCAAAAAGAUUGGGGAUGGGCGAAGGGGGGAGCUUCAAAGAACUUCCAGGUUGAUGAACAUGUGGAGAUCUGAGGAGAGUGGUACGCCCAGAAAAAGCGGGAAGCUCCACACCCUUUCCCCAUACCUUGCCCUAAGCAUCUUUCCUAUCUGGCUGUUCUGAGUUACAUCCUUUAAUAGUAAACCAGUAAGUAGUCUAGUAAGUAGAAUGUUUCUCUGAGUUCUAGAGUGAGCCGCUCUAGCAAAUUAAUCAAACCUGAGGGGGGCAGUAAUUGGAAUCACCUGUCUAUAGCCACUCGGUCAGAAGCACAGGCGACAACCUGAACUUGAGAUUGGCAUCUGAAGUUGGAGGGGAGCAGUCCUGUAGGACUGAGCCCUUAACCUGUGGCAUCUGACACUAUCUCCAGGUAUUUAGUGUCAGAAUUAUAGGGCAGCCAGCUGGUCUUGGAGAAUUGCUUGGUACUGAGGAAAAAAUGCACAUGUUGGAAUUGGGAGCAGAAUCUUAUCUCUGAGUGAGAUUAUCUAGAUAGUUGGUGAUUUGAAAGCUGCUGAUGCAAUUGUGACCCCUGGACCCAUACCCGAUGUGCUGCCAGGAUUGAACAUGCAAUAUAUACCACAUUUGGGCAGCCCUUUCUAGUUUAUUAGUUUAUUUUAAUGUUUUAGUGUUUUAUUUUAAUGUUUUAAUGUUUAUUAGUUUUUUGUUUUUAAUGUUUAUUAGUAUAACUUGAGUUUCAAAAAAUGGAAGUGGCCUGGGUGUCCCCAACCCAGGGAUGCUCCUUCUGUAACUUAUUAUUCCAGUGUUUAGCCAGCAGGGCCUCCCCAAACUCAUUCCUUCUGACUCCCCUGUACGUAACUGCUACCUCUGUUCUCUCUGGUUCUGUCUUUCCCAGGGGCAGAGGGGGGCUCUUUCUGCCCUCUGUAAUGAGGCUACCCACUCUCCAUCUGUAUCAUCAUAGGGAUAAUAGCUCCUGAUCUUUAGAUAACACUUUUCCACUUUAACAAGCACUGUCAGACCAUUAUCUCACUUAAGCUGAGCCACAGCCCUGUGAUGGAGGCAGCCUGCUUAUUAUUUUCAUUAUUAUUAUCAAUACCAUUAUUCUUACACUUCACAGAUAAAGCAACUGAGACUCAAAGAGGUUAUGACUUCUUAACCUUCUGGCUGGCCAUCCUAUGUGUUUCCUCUUGUGCCCACUGGCUUCCUGAAUCGUAAAGAGGGCAAGGUGCCCCUUGGGGACCCAUUCUUUAUUGUCACAUCUGCUGAACUCAUGCACGGAUGAGCAGCAGCCAUUUCUUGAGCUCCUGACACAUAAAAGGCAGAAUGUGUUCAGAAGGUAAUAAUAAUCAUCGAUAACUUUUAUAGACAGCGAGCCUGAAUCAAGGGCUAUUCUAGGCCUUGUAGAGAUCUUAUCUCAAAUACUCCCAACUUCCAUACAAGAUGGGUAUCAUUAUGCCUGUUUUACAGAUAAGGAUGCAGCCUCAGAGAGGCUAACUUGCCCGAGGUCCCCUGACGUGUCUCUGGAAAUUCUCUACCCUCUCACUGCGGUUGGGAACCGUCCACUGCGCACAGGCUAUGACCUCACACGUGCUUUGGUUUAAAAGCUGGCUCUCCCACCUGCUUGCCGUGUGACCAUGAGCCUGGACGUGUUCUCUCGUGUGAAUAAAAGGAGGAGUCCCUCAUUCACAGAGUGCUCUUCUGAGGAUUAAGUGUCAGGCCCAGCCAAGGUCUGGCAGAUGGGAAUGAUGAUUAGGCACCAGUCUGGGUCCUAGAAGAUGCCAGGGCCCCUGAGGGUAGAGGGCAGCAUGUCUGACUGAAGCAGAGGCCAUGCUUCAGUCUUGGUAUUUCCGCCUUGUCAGGUGACACCAACAAAAGUUGUAGGAACUUCCCUGGGGUCCAGUGGUUAGGACUCCAUGCUUCACUGCAGAGGGUAGGGGUUCAAUCCUUGGUCGGGGAACUAAGAUCCUGCAAGCCUCGCAUGGUGUGGUGUUGCAAAAAAAAUAAAAGUCUGUAGUUGCCGACUUCAGAAAAUGAGGUACAGUUUGUUCCAAGUUACUUAGGUAUCAUAAGUCCUCUGCUGAAGCCUGUUCAUUGUCUGCCUGUUUACUACAAGUCAGCACCUGCAGUUCCUGUCUUUCUCUCUCCAUCUCAGUAUUUAGUAGAAGAUUCUUCAUGGGUAUAACGUUUCCUCUGUUACCUCUUGCCUGCAGGGUGAAAGUGGGUAGUUCACUUAAUGCCAUACCAUAUCCAGUGGCAUGUGCUGGUUUAGAUAGCUUGAGCUCCAACCAGAGACAGCACUUUUUACUUAUUUUUUAAUGAGAGCACUUUUAAAACUGUCAUCCACAAUGAAUGGUGUGCCACGCCCUGUGCCAGCCACAGCCCAAAGGCAAGGCACACAGCGUACAGAGCCUGGCAGCCCAGAUUGGGUGCUUGCCACGUUGAGUCAAGAGGCGCUUUUGCCCCGGGAGCUUCUGCCCUCUCUUAGGUGAAGCCCAGGGUUUUCAUUGGGAAUCCUUUAGUGGUGACUGGGUGGUGCUGUCGAGUUCAGGGUGGAAGACUUGACUCGAUUAGGGGAUCUGAUUCUCCACGAAGGCUCUGGACAAGCUACCUGGCUUCCAUAUCUCCAUUAACUAAUUCAUUCAGAAAUACCUGCUGAGCUGCUGGUAUGGCCAUGGCUCUGGGUUCAGGGGUGAACAAGGGCAAACCUCAUGGAGCGUCCAUGGGAUGCAUUCAGCUCCUUGCAUCCAGGUCUUCUGGCUGGAUUUAGAUGGGGUCAUUCAUCUUUCCAGACUGAGUUAGGCUCAGAAGCCCUGGAGUAGCAAUGGCUGUCAGUGUAUACUGUAUUGUACCACCACCUUCUACCCAUGACAUCCCACACCUCUUGGGAUCCUGAAUAAGGCCCUCCAUGGUCUGGCUUCAUCUCCCUCUCCCUUUCUGUGCUCUGUUCCUCAAAUGGACCAUGCUCACUCCCAUAACAGGACCUUUGCACAUGCUGUUCCCUUUGGUUGUUCUCUGUGAUGUACAGACUUUAAGGUGACCCCCCAUGACCCCUAACUCCUGGUGUUCACACCCUUGAGUGAGGGUGGGACCUGUGACUUGCUUGUAACCAAUAGAAUAUGGCAAAGGUGACAGAAUGUCGCUUUUGUGAUUGUGUUGUGUAAGACUCCAUCUUGCUAGAGCCUCUGAACCUUCCCUAGUCAGGCCUCCAUGUGAGAACACAGCCCUGCCUCAUACCUUGAUUACAGCCUUGCAGAGGACCCAGCUAAGCUGUGCUAGGACUCCUGACCCAGAGAAACUGUGAGAUGGCAAAGGUUUUCUUUUGGCUGCACCAUGCAGCUUGCAGGAUCUUAAUUCCCCAACCAGGGAUUGAACCUGGGCCCUCGGCAGUGAGAGUGCCGAGUCCUAACCAUUGGGUCUCCAGGGAAUUCCCACAAAGGUAUUCUUUUAAGUUGCUAAGUUUGUUGUUUAAAAAAGAAAAAGCUGCGUAAAUGUGUUACUAUUUUCUAUAUGCAGUGUAGAAAACCAACCUAUUCUCUAACAUUCACCUAGCUUACUCCUACUCAUCCCUUACCAUUCCCAUCCCACCGAGAUGAGUUUUCUCAUCAGCCAAGAUGCCAAGGCCUGAUCUCCUUGUUAGAGGCUCUCGUGCCAUGGUGUGCCUCACCUCCACGUGACUUAUACAUUUAUAACUGUGUGAUUAUUUAAUUAAUAACUGCCCCCCCUCCACCACCACCCCCAGAUUGUAAGUGCCAUGAAAGCACCUUGUCAUGGUCUCUUCAUUUCCCCAGGGACUAGCACAGUGCCUGGCACAUGUAGGUGUUCAGUAAAUAUGUGUUGAAUAAAUAAAUGAUUUAUAGGACAUUCAGGGUCAAAAGGAGUGAAGGGAUAGGCAGGGGCUGGACUGUUCAAUGGUUAGAGGCUAAAAUGACUUGGGUGGAAAGUGGAUGUUGUAGUCCUAAAAACUCACUUUUAUUGUGACCUAGCUGGACAACUGACGCUACAGGUGUAUUUGGGGGCAUCCUUGGUGGGAAUGAUCUGUGUCCAUACAACAGUCACACGAGCCACCCCAUGGCUUGGCAUGAGGGUGUUUCUCUUGGAAGCUCCAGACUUCUUCCUCCUUCCAGAAGAACAUCUUGUAUUUUGACCAUCAGGCAAUUCUCUUAACAAUGUCCUUCCUAUGAGUCAGAGAAGGGAAGACACAGGCGGAGAAGGGGAGGGUGUGGUUAGGUGGAGGGAGCUCCAGCUUGGCAGUUUCAGUGAGGCCCACGAAACGUCAAAUAGCUUGCUCCAGAAAUAGACAGAAAGGUGAGUACAUGGCAUGCUGGUCACUGAAUUAUAUUCCCUCCAAAUUCAUUUACUGAAGGCUUAACCCGCGUGUGAUCACAUGUGGAGAUGGGCCUAUAAGGAGGCAAUUAAGGUUAUAAGAGCUCACAAGAGUUGUGUCCUAAUCCUGUAGGGCUGGUGCCUUGAUAAAAAGAGGAAGAGAUGCCAGAGCUCUGUCUCCACCAUGUGAGGAUACAGGGAGAACGUAGCCAUCUGCUAGUCAGGGAGAGAGAUCUCACCAGAAACCAAAUGGACUGGUCCCUUUACCUUGAACUUCCCAGCCUCUAGAACUGUGAGAAAAUAAAUUCAUGUUGUUUAAGCCACCCAGCAUAUGGUGUUUUGUUAUGGCUGCCUGAGCCAAUUAAGACAUGGGGUUAUCUAGAAGGCUGUAUCUUAUGCUAUAAAAAUAAGGUUGAGGGGCUCCAGAGUUCAGGUCAGUGUUUUCCUGUCUCUCCAAAUGGACUUUCUGUGCCUCCCCUGAUGUUUUGGCGUCAGUUGCCCAAGUUUACCCUCUCUAGGGCUUAAGGCCCUUCCCAGUUUAUUGAGGCCAUGUUUUCCUCCUUUCCUUCCAUCCAAGCUUUUAGAAGGAGUUGUCUGCACUUGCCGAUCGCGCUUCCGUUUCCAGGCAUCCACUCUUCGGUCACUUCAGUUGAGCCUCCAUCCUGCCAUUGCACAGAAGCUGCUUCCAUGCCACAUCCAGUGGGUACUUUUGGUCCUCAUUUGACUGUUCUCUUUUUCUUAACUCUUUCUCCUCCCUUGCAUUUCAGGGAUUUCUCGUCGCCCCUUCCUGGCAUCACCAUUUUGGUCUUCAUCUACUAUCUGCCACCUACUGCCCUUCAUGUAAAUGUUGAUGUUCCCCGGGUUUUGCCCUUGGUCCUCUUGCCUUUUCGCCCCACAUUGCCCUAAGAAAUCAUUGACGUAUAAACUCAGGCUGUUUCUCCAAGGCAAGAUGAGCUCACAGACCCCUGAGCCAUGGACCACCUGGCCAAGAACUGUAAACCAGAGACAUCCUGAUUCCCGAAACCAUGAUUAAGAAAUGUCACAAGGUGAUUAAUCCCAGCCCCUUUGUUCUUCCCCCUUAAAACAUCCCUAACUCAAAGACCAAGCUGGAAUGGAUCUGAGACUUGUCUCCCACUCCCUUGCUGGGCAUCCUGCAAAUAAACCCUUACUUUGCUGCAAAUACCUGCUGUCAGAGUUUGGCUUUCUGCGGCUGUGGCGCAUGAGCCCUCCUUAAAUUUUGUAUCUUGGGAACCUUUGGUACCUUUGCCUAGUCUCAGCCCUGCCAGGAGUCAUAGCAUUUUCAUUAAAAAACUUAAAUAUAUGCUUGUUCCGUCCUAAUUGCUAGGAAUUCACUGCUUGGAAUUCUUCCUAUGGAAAUAAACGAGCAGGGCUCUAAAUCAUGUGUACAAAGUGAUCAUAUAUGUAAAUAUAAGACUGGAAGGGCAUGCAUCCAAAUGAUAACAGAGGUUAUCUCUCUUUGAGAGAUAGGGUUAUAGGUGACUUUUUUCCAUUGUAUUUUGUGUAUGUGCGUGAGUGUUUUGCAAAUUUUCUGCACUCGGCAAGUAAUAUUUUUGUAGUUAGGGGGAAAAAAACAUUAUUUAAAAUGUUUUUAAACUGUCCCUCUUUUCUGGGUGACCCAUCGUGCUUGGGCUAAGCAUGUUGCUGUACUCUUCCCUUCUGGGCAGCACUUUCCCAUGAGGCUCUCUGAUCCCUUAUGCCAAUAGCCCCACAGAGACUCAGCCCACAAAGCUCUCAGGCAGACAGGCCCAGACAUAUCUGAAUCCACAGACAGGUUGGGAUAAGCCUGCCGGGGGUGCUGUCUUCUCUGAGGGCACUGUGGGAGGGGAUAUGAGAAUAAAGUAGGGGUGUAGGCCUUAAAGGCCCCUCCCCAACUUCUACCUCCUCCCCCAACUCAUUCCCAGGGGUAGCUUGGGGAAUUGACACCCUUGUGGAUGGAGUCUGGUGGACAGGGUUUGAAUCCCUGACUCUGCCAGGUACAAGCCAUGUGACUCUGGGCAAGUCAUUUCAUCUCUGUCCUCAAUUUUCACAUCCUUAAAAUGGAGAUAACACUAGAAGUUACUGCACAGUGGUCUUUUCUGGAGCCAGUAAGAAGAUGCAUGUGAAGUGUGGCUCCCAGUCUGGCACGAGGUGACCCAACAGAGGCAGGUGUUGACAUUGUUAUUGACACCCCGGUGGAUGUGUCUCCCACGUCUCAAACACAGCAUUGGACAUGCUGAACUCUUUUUUUUUUUUUUUUUGCGGUACGCGGGCCUCUCACUGUUGUGGCCUCUCCCGUUGCGGAGCACAGGCUCGGGACGCGCAGGCUCAGCGGCCAUGGCUCACGGGCCCAGCCACUCCGCGGCAUGUGGGAUCUUCCUGGACCGGGGCACGAACCCACAUCCCCUGCAUCGGCAGGUGGAUUCUUAACCACUGCGCCAUCAGGGAAGUACCUGUAUGUUCUUUUAGUGUCUGUCUCUAAUACCAAAUUAAACACUCUAGGAAAGCAGGGACCGUGUUUCUUUUGCUAAAUACUGUAUCCACAACACCUAGUACAGUACUUGGGGCAAAGUGUACAUGAAAUACAAUAUUUGUUAGAAGAAUUAGUUAAAUAUCAGAAUAAAGCAUCUCUAUAUGUUAGUUGUUAGUAUAUGUGCUAUAUAAACUUGCAGAAGGGACUUCCCUGGUGGUCCAGUGAUUAAGACUCUGUGCUCCCAGUGCAGGGGGCCUGGGUUCAAUCCCUGGUCAGGGAACUAGAUCCUGCAUGCCACAACUAAGAACCCACAUGCCACAACUAAAAAGAGCCUGCAUGCUGCAUCGAAGAUCCCGUAUGCCCGUGCAACAGCUAAGACCUUGAGCAGCCAAAUAACUAAAUAAAUAAUAAAAUAUUUUUAAAUAAUUAAAAAAAUAUAGCCCCCUUAGGAACAUUAAAAUAAACAAACAAACAAACAAACUUGCAGUAAAUGGUAUAGGAAUUUGGAUCAGUGAGAAUUUAUUCUGGGCUAGUUUGAUCUGAUAAAUCACCUUGGAAGAGCAGUAAACAUCCAUCUAUCUAUCCAUCUACCCAUAUAGCAAUCCACCCAUCAAUCCAUUUAUUCACUCAUCCAUCCACCCAUUUGCCCAACUGUCCAUCCACCAUUUCACCUAAUGUUCACUGAACAUUUAUGCACAUUGACUCAAAUCGUUGAAAGAUGGGGAUCUAAUGUAAAUCAUCGUGAUUUUAGUUGAUAAUAUUGUAUUGUAAAAUUGAAACUUGUUAAGAGAAUUGAACUUAAAUGUUCUCACACAUAAAAAAGAAGAGAAUAAAUAUGUGAGGUAAUGGAUGUGUUAAUUAACUAGAUGGGGGAAACCUUUCACAAUGUAUAUCUAUACCAAGUCACUACGAUGCAUGCUUUAAAUAUCUUACAAUUUUAUAUAUCAUAUAUAAUUCUAUAAAGCUGAAAUUUAAGAAAUGCUGAAGGAGGGAAGGGGUAAAUUUGGAGCUUAGGAUUAACAGAUACACCCUACUAUAUAUAAAAUAGAUAAACAACAAGGACCUACUUUAUAGCACAGGGAACUACAUUCGACAUCUAUAAUACACAUACAUACAUAUUACCUAUAAUGGAAAAGAAUCUGAAAAAGAAUAUAUAUAUGUAUAACUGAAUCACUUUACUGUACACCUGAAACUAACGCAACAUUGUAAAUCAACUGUAUUUCAGUUUAUUUAUUCAUUUAUUUAUUUUUUAAAAUUUUAUUGGGGCAUAGUAUUUUAUAUAUAGCAGUGUGUAUAUGUCAAUCCCAAUCUUCCAAUUUAUCCCUACCCACACCCCCUCACU